CUGCACUUGCUUUGGCUGCACAUAUACUAAAAUUGGAAUGAUACGGAGAAGAUUAGCAUGGCCCCUUAAAUAAAUACAUAGAAACAAAAGCAGUAAAGCUGUGAU
ensembl:snRNA U6 U6 spliceosomal RNA